rnacentral:rRNA from 1 species
CUCCCAAACCCCUGUGAACAUACCUAUACGUUGCCUCGGCGGAUCAGCCCGCGCCCCGUAAAACGGGACGGCCCGCCCGAGGACCCUAAACUCUGUUUUUAGUGGAACUUCUGAGUAAAACAAACAAAUAAAUCAAAACUUUCAACAACGGAUCUCUUGGUUCUGGCAUCGAUGAAGAACGCAGCAAAAUGCGAUAAGUAAUGUGAAUUGCAGAAUUCAGUGAAUCAUCGAAUCUUUGAACGCACAUUGCGCCCGCCAGUAUUCUGGCGGGCAUGCCUGUUCGAGCGUCAUUUCAACCCUCAAGCUCAGCUUGGUGUUGGGACUCGCGGUAACCCGCGUUCCCCAAAUCGAUUGGCGGUCACGUCGAGCUUCCAUAGCGUAGUAAUAAUACACCUCGUUACUGGUAAUCGUCGCGGCCACGCCGUAAAACCCCAACUUCUGAAUGUUGACCUCGGAUCAGGUAGGAAUACCCGCUGAACUUAAGCAUAUC